rnacentral:rRNA from 1 species
AGUGAACGCUGGCGGUAGGCCUAACACAUGCAAGUCGAACGGCAGCACAGUAAGGGCUUGCUCUUACGGGUGGCGAGUGGCGGACGGGUGAGGAAUACAUCGGAAUCUACUUUUUCGUGGGGGAUAACGUAGGGAAACUUACGCUAAUACCGCAUACGACCUACGGGUGAAAGCAGGGGAUCUUCGGACCUUGCGCGAUUGAAUGAGCCGAUGUCGGAUUAGCUAGUUGGCGGGGUAAAGGCCCACCAAGGCGACGAUCCGUAGCUGGUCUGAGAGGAUGAUCAGCCACACUGGAACUGAGACACGGUCCAGACUCCUACGGGAGGCAGCAGUGGGGAAUAUUGGACAAUGGGCGCAAGCCUGAUCCAGCCAUACCGCGUGGGUGAAGAAGGCCUUCGGGUUGUAAAGCCCUUUUGUUGGGAAAGAAAAGCAGCAGGUUAAUACCCCGCUGUUCUGACGGUACCCAAAGAAUAAGCACCGGCUAACUCCGUG